rnacentral:tRNA from 1 species
GGCCUGAUAGUUUAGUGGUAGAAUUCUUGCUUUGGGUUGUUGAAAUCUAAAUUGUAAGAGGUCUCCGGUUCGAUCCCGGAUUAGGCCC